GCCCCUGUCGUCUAACCUGGACCAGGACACAACCCUGCGGAGGUUGGAAUCCGAGUUCAAAUCUCGGCGGGGGCA
rnacentral:tRNA from 1 species